UUAAGCGACUAAGCGUACACGGUGGAUGCCCUGGCAGUCAGAGGCGAUGAAGGACGUGCUAAUCUGCGAAAAGCGUCGGUAAGGUGAUAUGAACCGUUAUAACCGGCGAUGUCCGAAUGGGGAAACCCAGUGCAAUUCGUUGCACUAUCGUUAACUGAAUACAUAGGUUAACGAGGCGAACCGGGGGAACUGAAACAUCUAAGUACCCCGAGGAAAAGAAAUCAACCGAGAUUCCCCCAGUAGCGGCGAGCGAACGGGGAGCAGCCCAGAGUCUGAAUCAGCUUGUGUGUUAGUGGAACGGUCUGGAAAGUCCGACGGUACAGGGUGAUAGUCCCGUACACCAAAAUGCACAGGCUGUGAACUCGAAGAGUAGGGCGGGACACGUGGUAUCCUGUCUGAAUAUGGGGGGACCAUCCUCCAAGGCUAAAUACUCCUGACUGACCGAUAGUGAACCAGUACCGUGAGGGAAAGGCGAAAAGAACCCCGGCGAGGGGAGUGAAAAAGAACCUGAAACCGUGUACGUACAAGCAGUGGGAGCACCUUCGGGUGUGACUGCGUACCUUUUGUAUAAUGGGUCAGCGACUUAUAUUCUGUAGCAAGGUUAACCGUAUAGGGGAGCCGCAGGGAAACCGAGUCUUAACUGGGCGUUAAGUUGCAGGGUAUAGACCCGAAACCCGGUGAUCUAGCCAUGGGCAGGUUGAAGGUUGGGUAACACUAACUGGAGGACCGAACCGACUAAUGUUGAAAAAUUAGCGGAUGACUUGUGGCUGGGGGUGAAAGGCCAAUCAAACCGGGAGAUAGCUGGUUCUCCCCGAAAGCUAUUUAGGUAGCGCCUCGUGAACUCAUCUUCGGGGGUAGAGCACUGUUUCGGCUAGGGGGUCAUCCCGACUUACCAACCCGAUGCAAACUACGAAUACCGAAGAAUGUUAUCACGGGAGACACACGGCGGGUGCUAACGUCCGUCGUGAAGAGGGAAACAACCCAGACCGCCAGCUAAGGUCCCAAAGUCAUGGUUAAGUGGGAAACGAUGUGGGAAGGCACAGACAGCCAGGAUGUUGGCUUAGAAGCAGCCAUCAUUUAAAGAAAGCGUAAUAGCUCACUGGUCGAGUCGGCCUGCGCGGAAGAUGUAACGGGGCUAAACCAUGCACCGAAGCUGCGGCAGCGACACUAUGUGUUGUUGGGUAGGGGAGCGUUCUGUAAGCCUGCGAAGGUGUGCUGUGAGGCAUGCUGGAGGUAUCAGAAGUGCGAAUGCUGACAUAAGUAACGAUAAAGCGGGUGAAAAGCCCGCUCGCCGGAAGACCAAGGGUUCCUGUCCAACGUUAAUCGGGGCAGGGUGAGUCGACCCCUAAGGCGAGGCCGAAAGGCGUAGUCGAUGGGAAACAGGUUAAUAUUCCUGUACUUGGUGUUACUGCGAAGGGGGGACGGAGAAGGCUAUGUUAGCCGGGCGACGGUUGUCCCGGUUUAAGCAUGUAGGCUGGUUGUCCAGGCAAAUCCGGAUAAUCAAGGCUGAGGUGUGAUGACGAGGCACUACGGUGCUGAAGUAACAAAUGCCCUGCUUCCAGGAAAAGCCUCUAAGCAUCAGGUAACAUCAAAUCGUACCCCAAACCGACACAGGUGGUCAGGUAGAGAAUACCAAGGCGCUUGAGAGAACUCGGGUGAAGGAACUAGGCAAAAUGGUGCCGUAACUUCGGGAGAAGGCACGCUGGUGUGUAGGUGAAGCCCCUGCGGGUGGAGCUGAGACCAGUCGAAGAUACCAGCUGGCUGCAACUGUUUAUUAAAAACACAGCACUGUGCAAACACGAAAGUGGACGUAUACGGUGUGACGCCUGCCCGGUGCCGGAAGGUUAAUUGAUGGGGUUAUCCGUAAGGAGAAGCUCUUGAUCGAAGCCCCGGUAAACGGCGGCCGUAACUAUAACGGUCCUAAGGUAGCGAAAUUCCUUGUCGGGUAAGUUCCGACCUGCACGAAUGGCGUAAUGAUGGCCAGGCUGUCUCCACCCGAGACUCAGUGAAAUUGAACUCGCUGUGAAGAUGCAGUGUACCCGCGGCAAGACGGAAAGACCCCGUGAACCUUUACUAUAGCUUGACACUGAACAUUGAGCCUUGAUGUGUAGGAUAGGUGGGAGGCUUUGAAGCGUGGACGCCAGUCUGCGUGGAGCCAACCUUGAAAUACCACCCUUUAAUGUUUGAUGUUCUAACGUUGGCCCCUUACCGGGGUUGCGGACAGUGUCUGGUGGGUAGUUUGACUGGGGCGGUCUCCUCCCAAAGCGUAACGGAGGAGCACGAAGGUUAGCUAAUCCUGGUCGGACAUCAGGAGGUUAGUGCAAUGGCAUAAGCUAGCUUGACUGCGAGCGUGACGGCGCGAGCAGGUGCGAAAGCAGGUCAUAGUGAUCCGGUGGUUCUGAAUGGAAGGGCCAUCGCUCAACGGAUAAAAGGUACUCCGGGGAUAACAGGCUGAUACCGCCCAAGAGUUCAUAUCGACGGCGGUGUUUGGCACCUCGAUGUCGGCUCAUCACAUCCUGGGGCUGAAGUAGGUCCCAAGGGUAUGGCUGUUCGCCAUUUAAAGUGGUACGCGAGCUGGGUUUAGAACGUCGUGAGACAGUUCGGUCCCUAUCUGCCGUGGGCGCUGGAGAAUUGAGGGGGGCUGCUCCUAGUACGAGAGGACCGGAGUGGACGCAUCACUGGUGUUCGGGUUGUCAUGCCAAUGGCACUGCCCGGUAGCUAAAUGCGGAAGAGAUAAGUGCUGAAAGCAUCUAAGCACGAAACUUGCCCCGAGAUGAGUUCUCCCUGAGACUUUAAGUCUCCUGAAGGAACGUUAAAGACGAUGACGUUGAUAGGCCGGGUGUGUAAGCGCAGCGAUGCGUUGAGCUAACCGGUACUAAUGAACCGUGAGGCUUAACCUU
rnacentral:rRNA from 1 species